rnacentral:rRNA from 1 species
UAGCUAGUUGGUGGGGUAAGGGCCUACCAAGGCGGCGAUCGGUAGCUGGUCUGAGAGGAUGGCCAGCCACACUGGAACUGAGACACGGUCCAGACUCCUACGGGAGGCAGCAGUGGGGAAUAUUGGACAAUGGGGGCAACCCUGAUCCAGCAAUGCCGCGUGUGUGAAGAAGGCCUGAGGGUCGUAAAGCACUUUCAGUGGGGAGGAGGAUUGAUUGUUUAAGAGAUGAUUAGUUGGACGUUACCCACAGAAGAAGCACCGGCUAACUCCGUGCCAGCAGCCGCGGUAAUACGGAGGGUGCGAGCGUUAAUCGGAAUUACUGGGCGUAAAGGGUGCGUAGGUGGUUGUAUAAGUUAUCUGUGAAAUUCCUGGGCUUAACCUGGGGUGGUCAGAUAAGACUGUAUGACUCGAGUAUGGGAGAGGGUAGUGGAAUUUCCGGUGUAGCGGUGAAAUGCGUAGAGAUCGGAAGGAACACCAGUGGCGAAGGCGGCUACCUGGCCUAAUACUGACACUGAGGCACGAAAGCGUGGGGAGCAAACAGGAUUAGAUACCCUGGUAGUCCACGCUGUAAACGAUGUCAACUAGCUGUUGGUUAUAUGAAUAUAAUUAGUGGCGC